rnacentral:SRP_RNA from 1 species
CCGUACUAGAUGGGGCGUUAGCGGUGCCCUGUAACCUGCAAUCCGCUAUAGCAGGAUCGAUGCCGUGCUGAGGGUCUAUUCUUUUGGGGUCUGGCCCUGGUAAGUGGUGUUGACAGUUGGGUCUUACGCAAUGGAGCUUUGUGAACCCCGUCAGGUCCGGGAGGAAGCAGCGGUAAGCAAAUGUCUUCCAUGUGCCGUAAGGGUGCCUGGCUCGAGCUAACUGCCAGGGUAACGCCUGGGGGAGUAGAUUCGAUGUAGGUGUACGG